rnacentral:rRNA from 1 species
UACGAAGGGGGCUAGCGUUGUUCGGAAUUACUGGGCGUAAAGCGCACGUAGGCGGAUAUUUAAGUCAGGGGUGAAAUCCCAGAGCUCAACUCUGGAACUGCCUUUGAUACUGGGUAUCUUGAGUAUGGAAGAGGUGAGUGGAAUUCCGAGUGUAGAGGUGAAAUUCGUAGAUAUUCGGAGGAACACCAGUGGCGAAGGCGGCUCACUGGGCCAUUACGGACGCUGAGGUGCGAAAGCGUGGGGAGCAAACAGG